rnacentral:sRNA from 1 species
UCAAGGUCCUCCAAGGCUGUGCAGACUGCCUUCCCCAGGAGAUCACCGAGCUCAAGACACAGAUGUGGCAGCUCCUCAAGGGCCACGACCACCUGCAGGAUGAGUUUUCUAUCUUCUUUGACCACUUGCGCCCAGCAGCUAGCCGGAUGGGUGACUUUGAAGAGAUCAAUUGGACUGAGGAAAAGGAGUAUGAGGUAUAGGACCUGAGGCUGCUGUAGCUUUAUGAAGGGGGAAGGCCACACGUGGGAGGGAUAUUGGCCUGGUGUCUGUGCUUAGCAGCACCAACUCCUUCUCAGUUUGAUGGCUUCGAAGAAGUGGCCCUGCCUGAUGUGGAAGAAGAGGAGGAGCCUCCCAAGAUACCCACAGCCUCAAAGAACAAGAGGAAAAAAGAGAUUGGGGUCCAAAAUCAUGAUAAGGUAUUUUCUUUGUUUAUUUGUUUGUUUUUGAGACAGAAUCUCGCUCUGUCACCCAAACUAGAGUGCAGUGGCGUAAUCUUGGCUCACUGCAACCUCCACCUCCCAGAUUUAAGCGAUUCUCCCACCUCAGCCUCUCAAGUAGCUGGAAUUACAGACGGGCGCCAGCCGCCACACCCAGCAAAUUUUUGUAUUUUUAGUAGAGAUGGGUUUUCACCAUGUUGGCCAGGCUGGUCUCGAACUCCUUACCUCAAGUGAUCCACCCGCCUCGGCCUCCCAAAGUGCUGGGAUUACAAGGGUGAGCCACUACUCCUGGCCUAAAAUCAUGAUAAGGUAUGCCAAGUUAUUGAAAAGUAUCUAUGUUUCAUGAAUCAAGCCUUGCAUUUUCUCACUAAACAUUUUUCUGGCUUACUAUGGCCC